GUAGGCGUCCACACUGGAGAAGGAAUAAGAUGGGCGAUUGCCUGGGAAGCCUGACAGGGCGGCGGCAGCUGGGAUGCUGGAGAGGACUGGCCCCUUGAGUUACUGAGUCCGAUGAAUGUGCUUGCUCUGCUGGAGGAACCGCGCUCAGGUUACAGUCAUCCCAAUAUGGUUCUGAAGGUGCGUGGUUCAGGUCACUUAGGACUUGACCAGAUACCGGGUUUCUUUUACAAGCCGUUUCUGACGGUGGCCUGUUUCAACUACUGGCAGAGCUCAUGUAAAACAGACUUUUAAAAAAAUUUGGGGGGCUUUUAGUAUUUUUUUCUUAUUCCUAUAUUCUGAGGAUAUUUUAUAGUAGUCCCACAUAUGGAAUUAGAUAAUCUCUUUUUUGUUUGAUUAACAGUUUUAUCAAGUAUAAUGUACAUACCAUAACGUUCACCCAUUUUAAUGGAUUCAAUGAUUUUUAGCAUAUUUACAGAGUGGUGCAACCAUCAGCAUAAUAGAAUUAAGGAAUCGUGAUUUUUUUUUUCUGGUAAUUGCUUUUACAGUUCUCAAAGUUUGCACAAGCGGAUAUUUUAGAGGUACAGUGUAAUAUAAGAGCUUCUGAAAAUGUCCACUUAAGUUGUUUUAUACCUGAGCAAGUGAAAUUAAGAAGGGAAUUGAAGCAAAUAUUCCUGGUAAGUUGUAGGGAGUGAAACUUUUGUGUCUUGUAAUACCAAGUAGAUAUUGACCAUUUCAACUGGUUUUUAUGCUGAGGAAAUGCAUAAACCCCAUUUUACAGAUGAUGAAAUCGACUUUGAAGGAUAAGUUGCCUACAGCUGCAUACCUGUGCCUGGGCUAGGCCCCAAACCCAGAUGCUUUAUCUCUCAAUUUGUUACCCUUGCUACCUCAACAGCUUGGUUUUCAACCAUGGUACUGAUGAGUGUGAACAGUACAAGCCAUUCAUUUACUGAGCAAAUAAUUAUUGAGUGCCACUCUGUGCCAAGAACACUGCUAUAGGUGCUAGAGAUAUUAUUGAAUCAGAUACCGUAGUGAACUGUUCCUGCCCUCAGCUCAUCUUCUGGUGGGGAGGACAAUGAUCAAGUAAAGAAAUAUAUAGUUUUAGAGAUUCAUCUAUUUUUUUAAUAGGUAAAUUAAAAGGGCAAGGAAUGGCAGUGGGAGGCAGAAUCUGAUGAGAAAAAUCUGAAUGAAGAGAGGAAGUUAGGAUAUAAGAAAGAAAGCAAGGGUUUGAUUUGAGCAAGCGCAAAAAUAGAGUUGUGAUUUACUGAAUUGAAAUAAGGUGAUACUGGAAGGACCAGGUUUUGGGGGUACAAUCAUAAGUUUGGCUUUAAAUGUUUUUAAAUACCUUGCCUCUUAGACAUCCAAGUGGAGAUAUGGCAUUUAAAUUCAUGAGAUUGGAUGAGAUCCCACCAAAGGAACAGGUUUAGGUGGAGACAACCAAAUACCGAUGCCUAGGACACUGCAGUGUUUAGAAUUCAAGGAGAUGAGAAGGAAACAGGAGGGAAGAUUGAAAAGAAGAGUCCAGUGUGUUAUGAGGAAAACCCCAAGAGCAUGCUGCCUUACAAGACAGGUGAAAAAUGUGUUCUGUGAAAGAAAGAGUAAUUAACUGUUAAAUGUUACAGACUGAUCAAAUAAAAUGAAGACUGAGAAUGGCCUGUUUGUAAGAUCACUUUUAAAAGGAAAACAUAGGAGCCUGAAACAGAAGUGGGAAACAAAUAUUUACUCAAACUAAGAGACUAAACUCAGUAGCCAGCAACAAGAGAUCAAGAUGGAGUCCUCCUCUGUCACCCAGGCUGGAACGCAGUGGUAUGAUCUCGGCUAACUGCAACCUCAGCCUGCCAGGUUCAAGCAAUUCUUCUGCCUCAGCCUCCCGAGUAGCUGGGAUUACAGGUGCCUGCUGCCAUGAUGAUUAAUUUUAUGUGUUAACUUAGCUGGGCUGUGUUGCCCAGAUAGUUGGUUAAACAUUAUUCUGGAUGUUUCUGUGAAGAUGUUUUUGGAUGAGGUUAACAUUUAGAUCGGUGGACUUUGAGUAAAGCAGAUUACCUUUCAUAAUUUGGGUGGGGCUCAUCCAAUCAGUUGAACAUCUGAAGAGACCAAAAGACUGACCUUCUGCAAGCAAAGAAAAAUUCUGCCAACAGACAGCCAUUGGACUUGAACUUCAACAUUGACUCUUCAGUCUAUUGGCCCACCCUGCAAAUUUUGGACUUGCCAGUAAGUGUCUGAAAUCUAGUGAGGCAAUUUCUUUCUUUUUUUUUUUUUUGAGAUGGAGUUUCGCUCUUGUUGUCCAGGCUGGAGUGCAGUGGUGCGAUCUCAGCUCACCGUAACCUCUGCCUCCCAGGUUCAAGUGAUUCUUCUGCCUCAGCCUCCUGAGUAGCUGGGAUUACAGGCAUGUGCCACCACGCCUGGCUACUUUUGUAUUUUUAGUAGAGAUGGGGUUUCUCCAUAUUGGUCAGGCUGGUCUCAAAUUCCCAAACUCAGGUGAUCCACCCGCCUUGGCCUCCCAAAGUGCUGGGAUUACAGGUGUGAGCCACAGUGCCCAGCCUAAUUUCUUUCUUUCUUUCUUUCUUUUUUUGAGACAGAGUUUUGCUCUUUUUGACCAGAAAGGAGUGCAAUGUGGCAGGAUGUUGGCUCACUGCAACCUCCACCUCCUGGCCUCUCUAGUAGCUGGGAUUACAGGCGCCUGCCACCACGCCCAGCUAAUUUUUGUAUUUUUAGUAGAGAUGGGGUUUCACCAUGUUGGCCAGGCUGGUCUCAAACUCCUGAAAUUACGUGAUCUGCCCGCCUUGGCCUCCCAAAGUGCUGGGAUUACAGGCGUGAGCCACCAUGCCUAGCCGGGUAGUUUAUCUUGACUUGACUUCAGGCUCACCAAUCCUUUUGGCUGCAAUUCUACGAUAGAAAAGGACAUAAAAAACUUUAAAUUAGCCUUAGAAUAAAGAGAUGUUAUCAUUCCCUAGCAAUUAGUAUUCAAAGCAAGAUCCAAAUAUGUAAUUAGUCAUUUAUGUAUCUAAGCUGUUUGUAUGUAUGAUACAAGUUUUCACAUACAAAUUUCUUCUUUCUUUCUUUCUUUCUUUUUUUUUGAUAGAGGCAGGGUUUCACGACAUUGCCCAGGCUGGUCUUGAGCUCAAGUGAUCCAUCUGCCUUGGCCUCCCAAAGUGCUGAGAUUACAGGCAUGAGCCACAGUGCCUGGCCCAAAUUAUUGUAGUUAUUUCCAAUUCCUUUCCCCCUUCUCACAUCCCAAUUAAAGAAUUCCACUCAGGAA
rnacentral:lncRNA from 1 species